UCCAAGAGGUCUCUUUACCCAAAGGGGCCUCACCAAUUGGCAGUACUUCUAUUAUUUUUAAGAAAUUUAUUUAUAAAUUUCGCCUACUGCAGUAUGGAUUCACGGCAACAGCGCGAAAUGAAGCUCUUCCUAAGUGUAUAUAUAUAUAUACAUUUGGGGGGGCGGAUGGCACUGGAAACGAGGGAGGAUCUCUACAUUUGCCCAUAAACGAUCGGAUAGAUUUCGAGACGCUAAAAAUGUUCCUUGUUACAGAGCAUGAUAGAAACCUCACUUGAUGAGUCUUCAUGUUGCGGUUCAAUAUUGGAUACCACUUGUAGAGAUAUACACGUGCGGAAUUUAUUUCAGUACGUAAGAAUCAACAGUAGGCUUUUACCCCAAAGGAGGGGAAGCAUGUAUGCCUUGCGAUAAUAUUUAUCGUAAAGGUGUAUGUGUAUUCCCCUUCUUUCGUAUUAACCGAAGAGUAUUUCCUUCGUGUGCCGUGAGUUGGCCACAAAAUAGUCCGCGGAUCGGUGAGUUAUAAGUACAUGCUGCGUUUUAUACGUAUGUAUGUCCCUUAUGCGAGCCGCUUCCUUCGGGCUAUGAAUUUUUCUUAGCUGCAUACCCAAUACUUCGGUAUAUAAAGUGGGGACAACCAGUUAAAAAAAAUUCAUCAUGGAGGACGAGGAUGUUAAGAUGUUGAAGUGAUACUUGCCCGCGGGUUUGCAUUUUUAUUCAGGUGUGUUUUACUCUUGAAUAGAGAAGUAUCUCUGUACGUAGGGGUAGUAAAUAUGAAUGUAUAUACAUGGACACUCAUGUAUAUAUCUCUCUUUUACAGUGUAUUAUUUUAGGGUCUAACCAUUUUCCCUUCCCAUGACAUAGGUUUUGCGGGUGGGUAUUUGUAGCAGCCCGCGUUGCACUACCUAUAAAACAUAUUUCAGUAUUGAAU